rnacentral:misc_RNA from 1 species
GGUGAAGAACGCAGCGAAAUGCGAUACUUGGUGUGAAUUGCAGAAUCCCGUGAACCAUCGAGUCUUUGAACGCAAGUUGCGCCUCAAGCCAUUAGGUUGAGGGCACGUCUGCCUGGGCGUCACAUAUCGUUGCCUGAUGCCAGUUUCCUCGUGAUGGGUGACUGUGCAGGGCGAAUGAUGGCUUCCCGUGAGCAUUGUUGCCUCAUGGUUGGUUGAAAAUUGAGUCCUUGGUAGGGAGCGCCGUGAUAGAUGGUGGUUGAGUGACGAACGAGACCCAAUCAUGUGAGACCCCUACCGAAUUUGGCCUUCAUGACCCACAUGCGUCUUUGGAACGCUCAUGACGAGACCUCAGGUCAGGCGGGGCUACCCGCUGAGUUUAAGCAUAUCAAUAAGCGGAGGA